rnacentral:rRNA from 1 species
CCUACGGGUGGCAGCAGUGAGGAAUAUUGGUCAAUGGGCGUGAGCCUGAACCAGCCAAGUCGCGUGAGGGAAGAAGGCACAGUGUAUCGUAAACCUCUUUUGUCAGGGAACAAUUGCGGGUACUAGUCCCCGUAUGAGGGUACCUGGAGAAAAAGCAUCGGCGAACUCCGUGCCAGCAGCCGCGGUAAUACGGAGGAUGCGAGCGUUAUACGGAUUUAUUGGGUUUAAAGGGUUCGCAGGCGGACUGUUAAGUCAGCGGUAAAAGCCCGGGGCGCAAACCCGGCGAGCCGUUGAAACUGGCGGGCUGGAGUUGGAGAGAAGUACGCGGAAUGCGCGGUGUAGCGGUGAAAUGCUUAGAUAUCGCGCAGAACCCCGAUUGCGAAGGCAGCGUACCGGCUCCAAACUGACGCUGAGGCACGAAAGCGUGGGUAUCGAACAGGAUUAGAUACCCUUGUAGUC